GCGUCCUGGUCGGAUGCGGAACG
rnacentral:snRNA from 1 species